AUCUGGCUCAGGACGAACGCUGGCGGCGUGCCUAAUACAUGCAAGUCGAACGGUCUUUCUAUGGAAGCUUGCUCCACUGAAAAGAUAGUGGCGAACGGGUGAGUAACACGUGGGUAACCUGCCCAUAAGAGGGGGGAUAAACAUCCGGAAACGGGUGCUAAUACCGCAUAGUUUUCUUGAUCGCAUGAUCGGGAAAGGAAAGACGGCCUUUGUGCUGUCGCUUAUGGAUGGACCCGCGGCGUAUUAGUUAGUUGGUGAGGUAACGGCUCACCAAGACGAUGAUACGUAGCCGACCUGAGAGGGUGAUCGGCCACAUUGGGACUGAGACACGGCCCAAACUCCUACGGGAGGCAGCAGUAGGGAAUCUUCCGCAAUGGACGAAAGUCUGACGGAGCAACGCCGCGUGAGUGAAGGUAAAGGUUUUCGGAUCGUAAAACUCUGUUGUCAGAGAAGAACAAGUUGGAGAGUAACUGCUCCAGCCUUGACGGUAUCUGACCAGAAAGCCACGGCUAACUACGUGCCAGCAGCGGC
rnacentral:rRNA from 1 species